rnacentral:rRNA from 1 species
GUUUCUUCGGAAAUGGAUUAGCGGCGAACGGGUGAGGAACACGUGAAGAAUCUGCCCUCCACUUUGGGAUAACACAGGGUAAACCUGUGCUAAUACCGAAUAUUGAAACAUAAGUGGCAUCACUGAGUUUUGAAAGAAUUUCGGUGGAGGAUGACUUCGCGGCCUAUCAGCUAGUUGGUGAGGUAAUGGCUCACCAAGGCAACGACGGGUAGCCGGCCUGAGAGGGCGACCGGCCACACUGGGACUGAGACACGGCCCAGACUCCUACGGGAGGCAGCAGUGGGGAAUAUUGGGCAAUGGAGGAAACUCUGACCCAGCGACGCCGCGUGCGGGAUGAAGGCCUUCGGGUUG